CCCUUAGAUGUUCUGGGCCGCACGCGUGCUACACUGAGUGGAUCAGCGGGUCAGGUUGCGCGAAAGUGUUUCCUAAUCUUUAAAUCCGCUCGUGAUGGGGAUUGACGGUUGCAAUUUUCCGUCAUGAACGAGGAAUACCUUGUAAGCGCGGGUCAUCAUCCCGCGCUGAAUACGUCCCUGCCCUUUGUACACACCGCCCGUCGCUCCUACCGAUUGAGUGGUCCGGUGAGGCUUUGGGAUCUGAGCGGAAGGAGCGUUUCGCUGUUUCUGCUCGGAAAACUCAGUCGAACCUUAUCAUUUAGAGGAAGGAGAAGUCGUAACA
rnacentral:rRNA from 1 species